rnacentral:rRNA from 1 species
AUUGAACGCUGGCGGCAGGCCUAACACAUGCAAGUCGAGCGAGCGGCGGACGGGUGAGUAAUGUAUGGGGACUGCCCGAUAGAGGGGGAUAACUACUGGAAACGGUGGCUAAUACCGCAUACUAUCGGAUAACCCAUAUGGGAUUAGCUAGUAGGUGGGGUAAAGGCUCACCUAGGCGACGAUCUCUAGCUGGUCUGAGAGGAUGAUCACCACCACGGGGAUUGAGACAGGGCCCAGACCCCUCCGGAGGCAGCAGUGGGGAUUAUGGCAAAAGGGGGGCAAGCCUGAUGCAGCCAUGCCGCGUGUAUGAAGAAGGCUUUAGGUUUGUAAAGUAUUUUCACCGGGAGGCGUUACCCGCAGAAGAAGCACCGGCUAACUCCGUGCCAGCAGCCGCGGUAAUUC